GUCUAUGGCCACGCCCCCCUGAACAAGCCCAAUGUCUGAUCUUGGAAGCUAAGCAGAGUAAGGCCUGAUUAGUACUUGGAUAGAAGACCAGGUGCUGUAGGCA
rnacentral:rRNA from 1 species